CAAAGGAAUUGACGGGACCCGCACAAGCGGUGGAUGAUGUGGUUUAAUUCGAUGCAACGCGAAAACCUUACCCACCUUUGACAUGGCAGGAAUCCUGAAGAGAUUUGGGAGUGCUCGAAAGAGAACCUGCACACAGGUGCUGCAUGGCUGUCGUCAGCUCGUGUCGUGAGAUGUUGGGUUAAGUCCCGCAACGAGCGCAACCCUUGCCAUUAGUUGCUACGAAAGGGCACUCUAAUGGGACUGCCGGUGACAAACCGGAGGAAGGUGGGGAUGACGUCAAGUCCUCAUGGCCCUUAUAGGUGGGGCUACACACGUCAUACAAUGGCCGGUACAGAGGGUAGCCAACCCGCGAGGGGGAGCCAAUCCCACAAAGCCGGUCGUAGUCCGGAUCGCAGUCUGCAACUCGACUGCGUGAAGUCGGAAUCGCUAGUAAUCGUGGAUCAGCAUGUCACGGUGAAUACGUUCCCGGGUCUU
rnacentral:rRNA from 1 species